rnacentral:tRNA from 1 species
GGCCAGGUAGCUCAGUUGGUAGAGCAGCGGACUGAAAAUCCGCGUGUCGGUGGUUCGAUUCCGCCCCUGGCCUCCA